rnacentral:rRNA from 1 species
AUUGAACGCUGGCGGCAGGCCUAACACAUGCAAGUCGAACGAGUGGCGGACGGGUGUGUAAUGUCUGGGAAACUGCCUGAUGGAGGGGGAUAACUACUGGAAACGGUAGCUAAUACCGCAUACCAUCAGAUGUGCCCAGAUGGGCUUGGCUUGUUGGUGGGGUAAAGGCUCACCAGGGCGACGAUCCCUAGCUGGUCUGAGCGGAUGACCAGCAACACUGGAACGAGGAAACGGUCAGGACUCCUACGGGAGGAAGAAGUGGGGAAUAUGGGAAAAUGGGCGCAAGCCUGAUGCAGCCAUGCGGCGUGUAGGAAGAAGGCCUUCGGGUUGUAAAGUACUUUCAGCGGGGAGGCGUUACCCGCAGAAGAAGCACCGGCUAACUCCGUGCCAGCAGCCGCGGUAAUUC